GGUGCACAUCCGUGGGCAAGAGGAAGAUCCUUAAGUUUUCACUUUAAAAAGAAGCACAAUACCUCAAGCCCUCGGGCAAGAUCCUAUUUCAUAAAAUCCGGUCAAAUGAGGUCCACACGGACCCCAAUCUGACAAAAUUUGGCUCUGGCCUUCAAGACUCCGACUCGAACGGACCCGACGGAGAACCAGAUCCGAACCCCUUUCUUGGUUCUUGAAUCCCCUCCGCCGUCGGUGCGCCCGCGGCGUCUUCUGGUGGAUUUAGCAAGAAAGAAAUCCAUGGAGAAGUAAUAAUAAGCGAGAGAAGGAAGAAGAAGAAGCGAAGAGAGAAGAAGAGGGACGAUAACGAUAGGGGGAAGAUGUUCUUCCACAUAACGCUGGAGCGGAACAUGCAGCUCCAGCCCCGCCACUUCGGUCCUCACCUCCGCGACAAGCUCGUUGCCAAGCUCAUGAAGGACGUUGAGGGCACCUGCAGCGGCCGGCAUGGCUUCGUGGUGGCGAUCACCAACGUGGAGGACAUCGGUAAGGGUCUCAUCCGGGAGGGCACGGGCUUCGUCACCUUCCCCGUCAAGUACCAGUGCGUCGUCUUCCGCCCCUUCAAGGGCGAGAUCCUCGAAGCCGUCGUCACCAUGGUCAAUAAGAUGGGAUUCUUCGCGGAGGCUGGGCCGGUGCAGAUCUUCGUUUCGAAUCAUUUGAUCCCGGAUGAUAUGGAGUUCCAGUCUGGGGACAUGCCAAACUACACGACAUCCGAUGGAUCGGCAGUCUUCAUCAAGGAUUCAGCUCCCAAUGGAACAUCCCGCGGGACACCAGGAUGGGGUACCAUCUCAUAUGUUGGGAUGAGGCCGUCUCGCUAGCAUCCCAGCAUCUCGAUCGAGACGUUUUGGGACAUCCUCUAUUCCAAGUGUUGGGACAGGAUGGGACGGCGGCACAUUCCGGUCCAUUGGAAGACCGAGACAGCUCCGUCUCAUGGGAUUUAAAACUUUGGUCUUCACAUUGCAUUCUUCAUUUCAAUUUGAGACUAGCAUGGUCUGACGUUCGUGAAGGAAAAAAGGGUCAAAAUUCAAAAAGACAGUGAGGUGCGGCUGAAGAUUAUUGGGACACGUGUUGAUGCAACAGAAAUUUUCUGCAUCGGUACCAUAAGGGAUGAUUUCUUGGGUGUGAUCAAUGAUCCAGGUGCAGCUUCUUAGUUACAUCAUUGGGUGAAACGCGAUGUUAAAAAGAUGGGUGGGUGCAUGUGAACUUUUGCCUUCAAGUGCAAUGAAAUUUUGAAUUUUCAGGCGCUAUUAAGAUAUUUGUUAGAACUUUUCACUUUCAUGUGCAUGAUUUUCCUUGUGGUGUUGCAUUAAUAUUAAGGGCAUGUUUGGAUAUCCAGGCCCAAAAUCCAAUGGCAUUCACGGAUUUGGACUAGUGUAAUCGGAAGAAAAGAAGUCUGGAUU